GAAUUGCGAUAAGUAAUGUGAAUUGCAGAAUUCCGUGAAUCAUUAAAUCUUUGAACGCACAUUGCACCUUUUGGAAUUCCUCAAGGUAUGCCUGUUCGAGAAUCAGUUUAAUCAUCAAGCCUAUUAUUGAAAAAUAAUAGGCUUGGACUUGGGACUUCUCGAUAGAGAUCUCUUAAUAAUAUUUGUUGCCUUGCUCUAACGAGAUUAUAUGAAAGGCAUGACCAUUGAACGAAAGUUCUUACGAUUGCAACUAGUAUCUUUGAGUUAUUUUAAGCGCACAGAAACUAUACGAAGGCCAAAAACCUUUAAGACUUGAUCUCGAAUCAGACAAGACUACCCGCUGAACUUAA
rnacentral:misc_RNA from 1 species